rnacentral:lncRNA from 13 species
CGUUUAGUUAUGGCCACAACAUGGCAGAAAAUCCAACUGUUCUACCAAUGAGUGCUAGACAAUAGAGGGGUGGGCCCCAAGCUGAUGGCUCAGACAGCCAGUCAACCUCAGCCUGUGCUCAUCGUUUACAACUUUGCCAUGGUCUGCAUGUUCUAUGAGAUGGCCAAGGUCUGCUGGUGGUUUUACUCCUCCAAAGUCAUCGAGCACAGUGAUAUUGAAGAAGAACAGUCACUUGACCUUCCUACAUGUCUACCGCCACGGCACCAUGAUCUUCAACUGGUGGGCUGGGGUCAAGUACGUGGCAGGAUGACCAUCUACACCAGCACCAACCUGUUCACUGACUGCGAAACCUCUACCAGAGCUAGCUCACCAAGAACAGCAAACAGACAUGGGAGGAAUGCAGAGGCAAAUGUUACACAUUUUAUGUCAUUAAUAUUGUAUUUUGUAAAAAUAUUGAUGUAUUUAUUGACCAAUCAUGUUCAAGUAAAGCAGGUCUCUAUCUGCUGGCCUAUGUUUCUGUUCCAACCUUCCCUCCCACCUGUGGGAUAA